rnacentral:rRNA from 1 species
ACUCAAAUGAAUUGACGGGGGCCCGCACAAGCGGCGGAGCAUGCGGAUUAAUUCGAUGCAACGCGAAGAACCUUACCAAGGCUUGACAUACGCAGAAAACUCGCAGAGAUGUGGGGUCCGCAAGGGCUGCGUACAGGUGGUGCAUGGUUGUCGUCAGCUCGUGUCGUGAGAUGUUGGGUUAAGUCCCGCAACGAGCGCAACCCUUAUUCAAUGUUGCCAGCACGUAAUGGUGGGGACUCAUUGGAGACUGCCGGGGUCAACUCGGAGGAAGGUGGGGACGAGGUCAAAUCAUCAUGCCCCUUAUGUCUUGGGCUUCACGCAUGCUACAAUGGCCGGUACAAAGGGCUGCGAAACCGCGAGGUGGAGCGAAUCCCAAAAAGCCGGUCUCAGUUCGGAUCGGAGUCUGCAACUCGACUCCGUGAAGUCGGAGUCGCUAGUAAUCGCAGAUCAGCAACGCUGCGGUGAAUACGUUCCCGGGCCUUGUACACACCGCCCGU